AAGGCGUUAGUCUAAGCAAGACUCUUGAUUUCGACUCAAAAAAUUAUGGUUUAAACCCGUAACGCCUUU
rnacentral:tRNA from 1 species